rnacentral:rRNA from 1 species
GAUGAACGCUGGCGGCGUGCCUAAUACAUGCAAGUCGAGCGAACGGACGAGAAGCUUGCUUUUCUGAUGUUAGCGGCGGACGGGUGAGUAACACGUGGAUAACCUACCUAUAAGACUGGGAUAACUUCGGGAAACCGGAGCUAAUAUCGGAUAAUAUUUUGAACCGCAUGGUUCAAAAGUGAAAGACGGUCUUGCUGUCACUUAUAGAUGGAUCCGCGCUGCAUUAGCUAGUUGGUAAGGUAACGGCUUACCAAGGCAACGAUGCAUAGCCGACCUGAGAGGGUGAUCGGCCACACUGGAACUGAGACACGGUCCAGACUCCUACGGGAGGCAGCAGUAGGGAAUCUUCCGCAAUGGGCGAAAGCCUGACGGAGCAACGCCGCGUGAGUGAUGAAGGUCUUCGGAUCGUAAAACUCUGUUAUUAGGGAAGAACAUAUGUGUAAGUAACUGUGCACAUCCUGACGGUACCUAAUCAGAAAGCCACGGCUAACUACGUG